UUAAGUUCAGCGGGUAUCCCUACCUGAUCCGAGGUCAAACUCAUUAAGUAGCUGGGGGGCCAUUGACAGCUGGCGGAGACUUGCAGUCAUCAGGCGAACAGUAAUUAUCACGCCUGGGGACAUGGAAGACUUUUCCGCUGAGGGAUUCCAGGGGAGAUGAAGACAUCUUCCCCCAAGACAAGCAAAACCAUGCUUGAGUA
rnacentral:misc_RNA from 1 species